AUGCCUACGGGAGGCAACAGUGGGGAAUAUUGCGCAAUGGGCGAAAGCCUGACGCAGCGACGCCGCGUGGGGGAUGAAGGUCUUCGGAUCGUAAACCUCUGUCAGCAGGGAAGAACGGGCACUGUGCUAAUCAGCAGUGAAUUGACGGUACCUGCAAAGGAAGCACCGGCUAACUCCGUGCCAGCAGCCGCGGUAAUACGGAGGGUGCGAGCGUUAAUCGGAAUUACUGGGCGUAAAGGGCUCGUAGGCGGUAUGUCAAGUCAAGGGUGAAAUCCCCGCGCUCAACGGGGGAACUG
rnacentral:rRNA from 1 species